rnacentral:tRNA from 1 species
GGGACUUAGCUUAAUUAAAGCGGCUGUUUUGCGUUCAGUAGAUGUGAGAUGAGAUCUUGCAGUUCCUA